rnacentral:rRNA from 1 species
GACGAACGCUGGCGGCGUGCCUAAUACAUGCAAGUCGAGCGGACAGAAGGGAGCUUGCUCCCGGAAGUCAGCGGCGGACGGGUGAGUAACACGUGGGCAACCUGCCUGUAAGACUGGGAUAACUUCGGGAAACCGGAGCUAAUACCGGAUAGGUUCUUCCCCCGCAUGGGGGAAGAUGGAAAGACGGUUUCGGCUGUCACUUACAGAUGGGCCCGCGGCGCAUUAGCUAGUUGGUGGGGUAAUGGCCCACCAAGGCGACGAUGCGUAGCCGACCUGAGAGGGUGAUCGGCCACACUGGGACUGAGACACGGCCCAGACUCCUACGGGAGGCAGCAGUAGGGAAUCUUCCGCAAUGGACGAAAGUCUGACGGAGCAACGCCGCGUGAGCGAAGAAGGCCUUCGGGUCGUAAAGCUCUGUUGUCAGGGAAGAACAAGUGCCAGAGUAACUGCUGGCACCUUGACGGUACCUGACCAGAAAGCCACGGCUAACUACGUGCCAGCCGCCGCGGUAAUAC